GGGGUUGUGGCUCAGUGGUAGAGUGUUCACCUAGCAAGCGCAAGGCCCUGAGUUCCAUCCUCAGCACCA
rnacentral:tRNA from 1 species